rnacentral:rRNA from 1 species
AGAUUGAACGCUGGCGGCAGGCCUAACACAUGCAAGUCGAGCGGUAGAGAGGUGCUUGCACCUCUUGAGAGCGGCGGACGGGUGAGUAAUGCCUAGGAAUCUGCCUAGUGGUGGGGGAUAACGUUCGGAAACGGACGCUAAUACCGCAUACGUCCUACGGGAGAAAGCGGGGGACCUUCGGGCCUCGCGCCAUUAGAUGAGCCUAGGUCGGAUUAGCUAGUUGGUGAGGUAAUGGCUCACCAAGGCGACGAUCCGUAACUGGUCUGAGAGGAUGAUCAGUCACACUGGAACUGAGACACGGUCCAGACCUCCU